rnacentral:rRNA from 1 species
UUUCAACAACGGAUCUUUUGGUUCUGGCAUCGAUGAAGAACCCAGCCAAAUGCGAUAAGGAAUGUGAAUUGCAGAAUUCAGUGAACCAUCGAAUCUUUGAACGCACAUUGGGGCCGGCCAGCACUCUGGCGGGGAUGCUUUUCCGAGCGUCAACUAA